rnacentral:rRNA from 1 species
UACAGAGGGUGCGAGCGUUAAUCGGAAUUACUGGGCGUAAAGGGCGCGUAGGCGGUUAUGUAAGUCAGCUGUGAAAUCUCUGGGCUCAACCUAGGAAUUGCAGAUGAAACUAUAUAGCUAGAGUGCAGUAGAGGGUAGCGGAAUUUCCGGUGUAGCGGUGAAAUGCGUAGAUAUCGGAAGGAACACCAGUGGCGAAGGCGGCUAUCUGGACUGCAACUGACGCUGAGGCGCGAAAGCGUGGGGAUCAAACAGG